rnacentral:lncRNA from 1 species
AUGGGCUGGCAGCAGGUGGAGGCCCAGCAGCAGGGGCGGCAGACCACGGCCGUGCAGGACGUGGGGCAGCAGCUGAUGGGGCGGCAGCAGCCCUCCUGCAGGGAGCAGGGGUCACAGCAGACGGGGCGGCGGCAGGGCUCGCAGAUGGGGCGCGUGCAGCGGCAGGUGCAGGUCACGGGGCGGCACACGGUGGUCUGGCAGCUCACGGGGCGGCAGCAGCAGGGGUCGCGGCAGCAGCAGGGCUGGCAGCAGCCUCCCCCGCAGCCCAGGGAGGAGCAGGUGGAGCCGCAGCAGGAGCCGGACAUGGUGGUGGUGGUGGUGUCUGGGGCUGGUUUGGGCCGGAGGGGUGAGAGGAUUCGGGUGUUGUCAGGUGUGAAUGCCUCCCUCCUGCUCUGGGGCCUUUAUAUACCCUGAGCGGGUCCUGAUGACCUCCAUGACACAGGUUGUUUCCUGGAGUUGUGGCUGCCCAUUGAUCUCUAGAUUGGUGGAUUCAGUUGCUGAGGCAGCAGUUCCCAUCAUGGAAGGAUGCUUUCCUUUCCACCUGUCUGCUUUCUUCCUUGAAAUGAAUACUUGAUGAAUUAUAUCAUCCAAAAAAUUACCCAUGGAAUAACCAAACCUUCCAGACCGUGCCACGUGACAAGUUGAAAGUGUGAAGAAUCCAGUGUUGACACCAUCACACUUUCCUCUUGUUUGUCUUGUUCACCACCCAUGACUCAGUGCAAGACUGUAGUGUUCCUGAGGUCACAGGCCUGGUUUCUGAUUGACCUUGAGAUGAAGCAAAGCAAGAAUUUCUAAAACACUGAAUGACUCAUGAAAGGAGAUGUGUACUCAUUGUGCUAUGGGAAGAAUGGUCCAGUGCUUCUGGAAAACAACACAGUGCUUCACUUCGCUUGUAAGAAAAUAAUCACCAGAGCCACUGCCGUGAUAUUGUUUAGUAACUCACUUGGCUUAUAAAAAUUUUUUUUAACGUUUAUUUAUUUUUGAGACAGAGAGAGACAGAGCAUGAACGGGGGAGGGUCAGAGAAGAGGGAGACACAGAAUCUGAAACAGGCUUGGCUCUGAGCGGUCAGCACAGAGCCUGACGUGGGGCUCGAACUCAUGGACCGCGAGAUCGUGACCUGAGCCGAAGUCGGACGCUUAACCGACUGAGCCACCCAGGUGCCCCAUCACUUGGCUUAUAAAUCAGAGUCACUUCUAAAGACUCUUACUAUGUAAACAGUACUAUUUAUGAGUGGAGAGGGAAAGGGAAGAAGAUUAAGUUCCAAGUAGAUUCUUAUCACACAGCAAUUACAAAUUUUAGGAGGGUAAGACAAAGGCAGAUAAAGCAAUCAAAGGAGAAGACUUUUCAUAGGACAAAAAGUUCAAAUUAAGUGAGGAUUUUAUUCAUAUUAUGCAUUUUGAAUGCCCCUCCCUGAGUAUGGUCUUAGAAAUAAAAUUGAAAUUGGGAUCGCUCUUUCUUCCUAG